GGGCCCGCACAAGCGGUGGAGCAUGUGGUUUAAUUCGACGCAACGCGAAGAACCUUACCUGGUCUUGACAUCCUGCGAACUUUCUAGAGAUAGAUUGGUGCCUUCGGGAACGCAGUGACAGGUGCUGCAUGGCUGUCGUCAGCUCGUGUCGUGAGAUGUUGGGUUAAGUCCCGUAACGAGCGCAACCCUUGUCCUUAUUUGCCAUCAUUAAGUUGGGCACUCUAGGGAGACUGCCGGUGACAAACCGGAGGAAGUGGGGGACGACGUCAAGUCAUCAUGGCCCUUACGACCAGGGCUACACACGUGCUACAAUGGAGCGUACAAAGGGUUGCGACCUCGCGAGAGUGAG
rnacentral:rRNA from 1 species